rnacentral:rRNA from 1 species
CCUACGGGCGGUAGCAGUGAGGAAUAUUGGUCAAUGGACGAGAGUCUGAACCAGCCAAGUAGCGUGAAGGAUGACUGCCCUAUGGGUUGUAAACUUCUUUUAUAUGGGAAUAAAAUUAUCCACGUGUGGGAUUUUGUAUGUACCAUAUGAAUAAGGAUCGGCUAACUCCGUGCCAGCAGCCGCGGUAAUACGGAGGAUCCGAGCGUUAUCCGGAUUUAUUGGGUUUAAAGGGAGCGUAGGUGGAUUGUUAAGUCAGUUGUGAAAGUUUGCGGCUCAACCGUAAAAUUGCAGUUGAAACUGGCAGUCUUGAGUACAGUAGAGGUGGGCGGAAUUCGUGGUGUAGCGGUGAAAUGCUUAGAUAUCACGAAGAACUCCGAUUGCGAAGGCAGUUCACUGGACUGCAACUGACACUGAGGCUCGAAAGUGUGGGUAUCAAACAGGAUUAGAUACCCUUGUAGUC